rnacentral:rRNA from 1 species
AGCGAACGCUGGCGGCAGGCUUAACACAUGCAAGUCGAGCGGGCAUCCUUGUGGUGUCCGCGGCAGACGGGUGAGUAACGCGUGGGAACGUGCCCUUCGGUUCGGAAUAACUCAGGGAAACUUGAGCUAAUACCGGAUACGUGCUAGAGCAGAAAGGUUUCUCUGACGAAGGAUCGGCCCGCGUCUGAUUAGCUAGUUGUUGAGGUUAUGGCUCACCAAGGCGACGAUCAGUAGCUGGUCUGAGAGGAUGAUCAGUCACACUGGGACUGAGACACGGCCCAGACUCCUACGGGAGGCAGCAGUGGGGAAUAUUGGACAAUGGGGGCAACGAUGAACCAGCCAUGCCGCGUGAGUGAUGACGGCCUUAGGGUUGUAAAGCUCUUUUAUCCGGGACGAUAAUGACGGUACCGGAGGAAUAAGCCCCGGCUAACUUCGUG